CCUACGGGAGGCAGCAGUGGGGAAUAUUGCACAAUGGGGGAAACCCUGAUGCAGCAACGCCGCGUGGAGGAAGGAGCGUUUCUGCGCGUAAAGCCCUUUCAGCGGGGAAGAAAAAAGACGGUACCCGACCAAGAAGCACCGACUGACUACGUGCCAGCAGCCGCGGUAAUACGUAGGGGGCGAGCGUUAUCCGGAAUUACUGGGGGUAAAGGGAGCGUAGACGGCGAGGUAAGCCUGAAGUGGAAGGCCGCGGCACAACCGCGGAACUGCGGUGGGAACGGUUUUGCUGGAGUAUGGGUGGGGUAAGCGGAAUUCGUGGUGUAGCGGUGAAAUGCGUAGAUAUCAGGAGGAACACCGGUGGCGAAGGCGGCUUACUGGACCAUAACUGACGUUGAGGCUCGAAAGCGUGGGGAGCGAACAGGAUUAGAUACCCCGGUAGUC
rnacentral:rRNA from 1 species